GGAGAGGGUAGCAACGUAGGGCUUGCUCCACCUCUCCCCGCCGUCCUCCACGUCCUCCUCAAACUUCAGCCACCUACACCAGGAGUCUCUUUGGUUGGCUAAGAGUAGACCUUGGAUGACAGCAGUGCAGAGACAGAGCAUCCUUGCCAUCCUUCACGCAGAUCUCAUCCAGCUCAGUGAACAGCUCGUGGGCCACAUGUUCAGCAUCCUCCUCUGUGCCCAGAAUGAACUGGACCCUCUGGGACGGCGUGUCUGAUGAAGUGAGAGGAUGUGAGG